rnacentral:rRNA from 1 species
GUGCCAGCCGCCGCGGUAAUACCGGCAGCCCGAGUGAUGGCCGAUAUUAUUGGGCCUAAAGCGUCCGUAGCUGGCCGAACAAGUCCGUCGGGAAAUCCACCCGCCCAACGGGUGGGCGUCCGGUAGAAACUGGCCGGCUUGGAACCGGAAGGCUCAGAGAGUACGUCCGGGGUAGGAGUGAAAUCCCGUAAUCCCGGACGGACUACCGAUGGCGAAAGCACUCUGAGAAGACGGCGUCGACAGUGAGGGACGAAAGCUCGGGUCUCAAACCGGAUUAGAUACCCUUGUGUCC